rnacentral:lncRNA from 1 species
AGGUUCUGACAAUUCUCAGGUAUGUUUAUUUCAAUUAUACAUUCAGGGUCUGGGAGAAUGACCAGGGAGUAGGUCUGUGGACCUCAGUAGACUCAUAAUAGGCAGGACCUGGGCCAGAACUGCAUUUAUUACAUGGCUCCCAUCUAGCCCUACUCCAACAGGUGUCCAUGAUGAUACUCUGGGUCCCCAGAUAUCAAUGUUAAUUUAGACUCUCUUUCAAACAGCUCUUGAAAUGUUUGGAUAUUUAUCUUUCUCCAACGUAGAAUUAUUUGAGUAAAUGUUUUGAGAUUCCUUUAUGGAUGAACUGAUGGAAUAAUUUUCAAGUAACUUUCCCAUGGUAUUGUGGAAUCUUUUUUCCUGGGACAUGACCUUUCUAUCAGUCAAUAUAUUCUAGGUUUGGGAAUGGUUCCAGACUGGCUACUGCUUUUUCCAAGCUACCAAGAGCCAUCCUAGCAGUGAAUUAGUACUGUCUCCUGGGGUUCUUGAUGGGGUAUAAAUCCUGUAUCACAGGACAGUGCUCACAUAUUUGAUAAACUCAUCCUAUUGCAGCUCCUUACUCUAUUCUCCUUAAUACAGAAUCUUUGGGAUGCUAUCUCAUCUAAACUUUCCUGGCUUCUGCUGGCACAUGCUGGUGAAAUACUGCAGAUUCCUUGAUAUAUAGCCCUCAAUUUCUCUUAGCAGACCCAGACUUUCCCAGGUGUAUUGUAUUGUAUUGUAACUUUUCCCGUGAGCCAGUGGCCAGGAGGGAAAGCAGGUAGAUCACGACGUGUGCCAUUUUUCAUAGCAGAAG